CCUACGGGAGGCUGCAGUGGGGAAUAUUGCACAAUGGGCGCAAGCCUGAUGCAGCCAUGCCGCGUGUGUGAAGAAGGCCUUCGGGUUGUAAAGCACUUUCAGCGGGGAGGAAGGCGUUAAGGUUAAUAACCUUGGCGAUUGACGUUACCCGCAGAAGAAGCACCGGCUAACUCCGUGCCAGCAGCCGCGGUAAUACGGAGGGUGCAAGCGUUAAUCGGAAUUACUGGGCGUAAAGCGCACGCAGGCGGUCUGUCAAGUCGGAUGUGAAAUCCCCGGGCUCAACCCGGGAACUGCAUUCGAAACUGGCAGGCUAGAGUCUUGUAGAGGGGGGUAGAAGUCCAGGUGUAGCGGUGAAAUGCGUAGAGAUCUGGAGGAAUACCGGUGGCGAAGGCGGCCCCCUGGACAAAGACUGAUGCUCAGGUGCGAAAGCGUGGGGAGCAAACAGGAUUAGAUACCCGUGUAGUC
rnacentral:rRNA from 1 species